UACAGAGGUCUCAAGCGUUGUUCGGAUUCAUUGGGCGUAAAGGGUGCGUAGGUGGCGCGCUAAGUCGGGUGUGAAAUUUCGGAGCUUAACUCCGAAACUGCAUUCGAUACUGGUGUGCUUGAGGACUGGAGAGGAGACUGGAAUUCAUGGUGUAGCAGUAAAAUGCGUAGAGAUCAUGAGGAAGACCAGUGGCGAAGGCGGGUCUCUGGACAGUUCCUGACACUGAGGCACGAAGGCCAGGGGAGCAAACGGG
rnacentral:rRNA from 1 species